rnacentral:ncRNA from 1 species
AUGUCAUAUUCUAAAAAGGUAUGGCAAGUAGGAUUCAGCUAAUCCUGCAAGACUAUCAAAUUGCCGGAAAGUCCUGUUUGAAGUCAUUGGUACCGCUUGCUAAGUGAAAGCCUAGCCAAGCACCAUAGGGAAACCUGUGGGUAUGGUAACAAUCCAAUGAGUAGGGAUAAUCGGCAGCCAAGUCCUAAAGGCAAUGUAUGUUGCCAAUGGAUGCAGUUCACAGACUAAAUGGUAGUCGGGGUGCAUGCCCUUAAGAUAUAGUCGGGCCCUAUCGAGAGAUAGCC